UACCCGCAGCACAAGUGGUGGUCAUUAUUACUGGGCGUAAAGGGCUCGUAGGCGGCCAACUAAGUCGGAUGUGAAAUCCCCAGGCUUAACCUGGGAACUGCAUCCGAUACUGGAUGGCUUGAAUCCGGGAGAGGGAUGCAGAAUUCCAGGUGUAGCGGUGAAAUGCGUAGAUAUCUGGAGGAAUACCGGUGGCGAAGGCGGCAUCCUGGACCGGCAUUGACGCUGAUGAGCGAAAGCUAGGGGAGCAAACGGG
rnacentral:rRNA from 1 species